AGGAACCUAGAGUAUUGUUGUUCGGACUAUGAAAGCAUAAAUGGUACAUGUACAGAGUGCAAAAUUGGGUUUGUAUCAAUAAGUGGAAAGCCAUGUUCUCAUUGCCAGAAAAACAGAUUUGGAGAAAGAUGUUUGGAACGUUGCUACUGUAAUGAGAUUGAAGAAAGAUGUGAUCACGUAAAAGGAUGCGUUCCAAAGUUUGAACUUAACGGAGAUGUCAAUUAUACAACCAGUUCAGAGUCAGAAAACUAUUCGGAGUCAGUGACAGUGUUUGAAUUGGAUGUACUUAUAAUCUUGGCUGCAGUAGCUGGUUUGCUAGUUCUGGUUGGUGGCUGUUUGGGCUUUACCUGUUUUUGUAAAAGACGAAACAAGAUAAAUGUAGCUAGUAGCUCCUAUUUACAAGUUAUAAAUGGAUCGUACGGAACUGUUAUUGAUACCAAUGUCAAUGACGAUCGAUGCAGACAACUCAACUCGUACGUUACCUUGGUUCCUAAAACUAGCGAUACACAUUACUACAUGUAUUAUGAAUAGAGGAGAAGACAGAACAAUGAUUCA